rnacentral:lncRNA from 1 species
ACGGAGAGGCGGGAGUGAGUCAACUGACAAGCGCUGGGGACAGUGGCGUCCUUGUCUUGCCUUUGUCGCUCCCGCCCCGCUCUUCCCUGGCUGGGCUGGCGGAGGCCUUGCUGAUGAACCUGACUGAGGGUCCCCUGGCGAUGGCAGAAAUGGACCCUACACAGGGCCGUGUGGUCUUUGAGGACGUGGCCAUAUAUUUCUCCCAGGAGGAGUGGGGGCACCUUGAUGAGGCUCAGAGAUUGCUGUACCGUGAUGUGAUGCUGGAGAAUUUGGCCCUUUUGUCCUCACUAGACUGCCUUCCGGGAAAAUCUGGAUGCUUGCCGUUUAAAAGCCAAUGAAGCCCCUCCACGUCCUUGGAGCCCCGCAACUGCAUUUCUCAAAGCCUCAGGAGGAUCCUCCUGGCUUUCAUCCUGAACGCGAGUUAACUUAAGUUCAGAAGCGGGGCAGGCAGUGGCCUGGGAACUACAUUACCCAAAAGACACAGCGGCGGACACAAGCAGCGAGUGUAGCCAAUGAAGGCCUAGCAGAGCGGCGUCUACGGGGGUUCGCAAUGCGUGUGGGCGGGACUUCCUGCAACGC